UACGAAGGGGGCUAGCGUUGCUCGGAAUGACUGGGCGUAAAGCGCGCGUAGGCGGAUCAGGAAGUUGGGGGUGAAAUCCCGGGGCUCAACCCCGGAAUGGCCUUCAAAACUCCUGGUCUUGAGUUCGAGAGAGGUGAGUGGAAUUCCGAGUGUAGAGGUGGAAUUCGUAGAUAUUCGGAGGAACACCAGUGGCGAAGGCGGCUCACUGGCUCGACACUGACGCUGAGGUGCGAAAGCGUGGGGAGCAAACAGG
rnacentral:rRNA from 1 species